rnacentral:rRNA from 1 species
GAUCUCAAAUCAGGUAGGACUACCCGCUGAACUUAAGCAUAUCAAUAAGCGGAGGAAAAGAAACUAACAAGGAUUCCCCUAGUAGCGGCGAGCGAAGCGGGAAGAGCUCAAAUUUAUAAUCUGGCACCUUCGGUGUCCGAGUUGUAAUCUCUAGAAGUGUUUUCCGCGUUGGACCGCACACAAGUCUGUUGGAAUACAGCGGCAUAGUGGUGAAACCCCCGUAUAUGGUGCGGACGCCCAGCGCUUUGUGAUACACUUUCAAUGAGUCGAGUUGUUUUGGGGAUUUGCAAA